UACGUAGGGGGCAAGCGUUAUCCGGAUUUACUGGGUGUAAAGGGAGUGUAGGUGGUCUGGCAAGUCAGAUGUGAAAGCCCGCGGCUCAACUGCGGGACUGCAUUUGAAACUGUCAGACUGGAGUGCAGGAGAGGAAAGUGGAAUUCCUAGUGUAGCGGUGAAAUGCGUAGAUAUUAGGAAGAACACCAGUGGCGAAGGCGGCUUUCUGGACUGUAACUGACACUGAGGCUCGAAAGCGUGGGGAGCAAAC
rnacentral:rRNA from 1 species